rnacentral:rRNA from 1 species
GAUGAACGCUAGCGGCAGGCCUAAUACAUGCAAGUCGAACGGUAGACAUUCUUUCGGGGAUGUUGAGAGUGGCGCACGGGUGAGUAACGCGUAUGCAACCUACCCAAUACAGGGGGAUAGCCCGGAGAAAUCUGGAUUAAUAUCCCAUGGUAUCAUUUUAUCGCAUGAUUUUAUGAUUAAAGAUUUUAUCGGUAUUGGAUGGGCAUGCGUCUGAUUAGCUAGUUGGAGGUGUAACGGACCCCCAAGGCGACGAUCAGUAGGGGUUCUGAGAGGAAGGUCCCCCACACUGGCACUGAGAUACGGGCCAG